rnacentral:rRNA from 1 species
AAUCUUCCACAAUGGGUGCAAACCUGAUGGAGCAAUGCCGCGUGAAUGAAGAAGGUCUUCGGAUCGUAAAGUUCUGUUAUUAGAGAAGAACAAAUCGAGGAGUAACUGUCUCGAUUUUGACGGUACCUAACCAGAAAGUCACGGCUAACUACGUGCCAGCAGCCGCGGUAAUACGUAGGUGACAAGCGUUUUCCGGAAUUAUUGGGCGUAAAGGGAGCGCAGGCGGUUGAAAUAGUCUGAUGUGAAAGCCCACGGCUUAACCGUGGAAUGUCAUUGGAAACUGUUCAACUUGAAUGCAGAAGAGGUAAGUGGAAUUCCAUGUGUAGCGGUGAAAUGCGUAGAUAUAUGGAGGAACACCAGUGGCGAAGGCGACUUACUGGUCUGUGAUUGACGCUGAGGCUCGAAAGCGUGGGUAGCAAACA